rnacentral:rRNA from 1 species
AUUGAACGCUGGCGGCGUGCUUAACACAUGCAAGUCGAUCGGUAACAGGUGUAGCAAUACAUGCUGACGAGAGGCGGACGGGUGAGGAACGCUUGGGAAUCUGCCUAUCAGCGGGGGACAACCCGGGGAAACUCGGGCUAAUACCGCAUACGCUCUACGGAGGAAAGCCGGGGACCGCAAGGCCUGGCACUGAUAGAUGAGCCCAAGUCGGAUUAGCUAGUUGGCGGGGUAACGGCCCACCAAGGCGACGAUCCGUAGCUGGUCUGAGAGGACGAUCAGCCACACCGGAACUGAGACACGGUCCGGACUCCUACGGGAGGCAGCAGUGGGGAAUAUUGGACAAUGGGGGAAACCCUGAUUCAGCGACGCCGCGUGGGUGAAGAAGGCCUGCGGGUUGUAAAGCCCUUUCGGUAGGGACGAAAGCUCUUGCUCUAACAAAGCAGGAGGUUGACUUAACCUACAUAAGAAGCACCGGCUAACUCUGUGCCAGCCGCCGCCGUAACAC